GCGGGAGCAGUAAAGAUGGCGGUGCGAGGGUCUCCGCCCUCUGCUCCCGGCUGAAGCGCUCUGAGAGAGGCGGCAGCGGCAACUCAAGCCCCAACAGUAAUUUAGUGUUGGUAGUUUUGGCAGCAGCUGCCAAGGCCAGAGCAAUGGCGGAGCUGGAGCACCUGGGAGGGAAGCGGGCAGAGUCGGCGCGAAUGCGGCGGGCAGAGCAGCUUCGGCGCUGGCGGGGCUCGCUGACAGAGCAGGAGCCCGCGGAGCGACGAGGCGCGGGGCGGCAGCCGCUGACCCGGCGCGGGAGCCCCAGGGUCCGCUUCGAGGACGGUGCUGUCUUUCUGGCCGCCUGCUCUAGCGGGGACACCGACGAGGUGAGAAAGCUUCUGGCAAGAGGUGCUGAUAUCAACACGGUCAACGUGGACGGCUUGACAGCCCUGCACCAGGCCUGUAUUGAUGAAAAUUUGGACAUGGUGAAGUUUCUGGUGGAGAACAGAGCCAAUGUAAACCAGCAAGACAACGAGGGCUGGACACCCCUUCAUGCAGCAGCUUCCUGUGGUUAUCUCAACAUAGCAGAGUAUUUCAUUAAUCACGGAGCCAGUGUAGGUAUUGUCAAUAGUGAAGGUGAAGUUCCCUCUGACCUUGCAGAAGAGCCAGCCAUGAAGGAUCUUCUUCUGGAGCAAGUAAAGAAGCAAGGAGUUGAUCUAGAGCAGUCAAGAAAAGAAGAAGAGCAGCAGAUGUUGCAGGAUGCCCGCCAGUGGCUCAACAGUGGGAAAAUAGAGGAUGUGAGGCAGGCUCGCUCAGGGGCUACAGCCCUUCAUGUAGCUGCUGCCAAGGGCUACUCUGAAGUCCUCAGACUUUUAAUUCAGGCUGGCUAUGAACUCAAUGUUCAGGAUUAUGAUGGCUGGACUCCCCUCCAUGCUGCUGCACACUGGGGAGUGAAGGAGGCUUGCUCCAUCCUGGCAGAAGCACUUUGUGACAUGGAUGUUCGAAACAAACUGGGCCAGACACCAUUUGAUGUGGCUGAUGAGGGUCUCGUGGAGCAUUUGGAGAUGCUCCAGAAGAAGCAGAAUGUGCUUCGAAGUGAAAAGGAGACACGGAAUAAACUCAUUGAGUCAGACCUGAACAGCAAGAUUCAGAGUGGGUUCUUUAAGAACAAAGAGAAGAUGCUCUAUGAGGAGGAGAUACCUAAGUCCCAAGAAAUGGAGGAAGAAAACAAAGAAUCUAGUAGCUCCAGCUCAGAGGAGGAGGAAGGUGAAGAUGAAGCUUCUGAGUCAGAAGCUGAGAAGGAGGCAGAUAAAAAGCCGGAAGCCUUUGUCAGUCAUUCCAACUCUGAAAGCAAGAGUAGUAUCACAGAGCAGAUACCAGCACCAGCUCAAAAUACCUUCUCUGCCUCUUCUGCUAGGAGGUUCUCUUCCGGCCUUUUUAACAAGCCAGAAGAGCCCAAAGAUGAAUCUCCUUCUUCUUGGAGAUUGGGACUGAGAAAAACUGGCAGCCACAACAUGCUGAGUGAGGUGGCCAAUUCCAGGGAACCUAUAAGGGACCGAGGCUCUUCCAUCUACCGCUCCUCUUCAAGCCCUCGGAUUUCUGCUCUACUAGACAACAAAGAUAAGGAGAGAGAAAACAAAAGCUAUAUUAGUUCACUAGCACCCCGGAAGCUCAACAGCACAAGUGAUAUUGAAGAAAAGGAGAACAGAGAAUCAGCUGUUAAUCUAGUAAGGAGUGGCUCCUAUACCCGGCAGCUGUGGAGGGAUGAAGCAAAGGGAAAUGAAACCCCACAGACAAUUGCUCCCUCCACCUAUGUAUCAACUUACUUGAAAAGUGCUUCAUUUGGUAGAAGUAGUGACCCCACAAGUCCCUACAUUUCAGCCAAUCGCAAUUCAUCUCCUGCUACCUCACCCAUUACCAUUGGUUCAUCUACCUCUCGGGGCAGCCAGUGGCAACCUGCCUCUUCUUGCCCUGCACCAAUCAGUGCAAACACUACUGCAUCUGUACAUCAUGGCAGGACUCCUCACAAAUCCCAGGCCAACUCGACAGCAGAGAAAACAGCAGACAAUGUCUCUUCUAGCACCCCGCUCUGUGUGAUCACCAAUCGCCCUCUGCCUAGCACUGCCAAUGGGGUUACAGCUACUCCUGCGCUCUCCAUUACUGGAACAGAUUCCUCUGUGGAAGCCAGGGAGAAGAGGAGGUCCUAUCUGACUCCUGUACGGGAUGAGGAAGCAGAGUCUUUACGAAAAGCACGCUCCAGACAAGCUCGGCAGACACGAAGGUCUACGCAAGGUGUCACCCUAACAGACCUUCAAGAAGCAGAAAGGACAUUCAGCCGUUCGAGGUCAGAGAGGCAAGCUCAGGAGCAGCCUCGUGAGAAGCCCACAGGCACCGAAGGGCUUGAGGGGAGCCCUGAGGAGCAUGAGCACUCAGCAGUUCCAGCAACAGAAGCUGGGGAGGGCCAGCAGCCCUGGGGCAGGAGUCUGGAUGAAGAGCCUAUCUGUCAUCGCCUGAGGUGCUCAGCUCAGCCAGACAAACCCACCACGCCAGCAUCUCCUUCUACAUCAAGACCCUCACUCUACACCAGUUCCCACGUGCUAUGGACAAAUAGAUUUUCAGUCCCUGAUUCUGAGAGUUCAAAGACUACCACAAACACUACAACUGCAAAGGAAAUGGACAAAAAUGAGAAUGAAGAAGCAGAUUUGGAUGAGCAGUCCUCUCAGAGGCUGUCCGUCCGAGAGAGGAGGCGGCCGAAGGAACGACGAAGAGGCACAGGCAUCAAUUUCUGGACAAAGGAUGAGGAUGAAACUGAUGGCUCUGAAGAGGUCAAAGAAACAUGGCAUGAAAGACUUUCUAGGUUGGAAUCGGGAGGUAGUAAUCCUACAACCAGUGAUUCUUACGGUGACCGGGCUUCAGCAAGAGCCCGUCGGGAGGCCCGGGAGGCCCGCCUAGCUACCCUGACCAGCCGUGUAGAAGAAGACAGCAACAGAGAUUAUAAAAAACUCUAUGAGAGUGCUCUGACUGAAAACCAAAAACUGAAAACAAAACUUCAGGAAGCCCAGCUAGAGCUAGCAGACAUAAAAUCCAAGCUUGAGAAGGUGGCCCAGAAACAAGAAAAGACCUCUGACCGAUCAUCAGUGCUGGAGAUGGAGAAACGGGAGAGGCGAGCCUUGGAGCGCAAAAUGUCAGAAAUGGAGGAAGAAAUGAAGAACCUCCACCAGCUAAAACAGAUUCAAACCUUGAAGCAGAUGAACGAGCAACUGCAGGCUGAGAACAGGGCCCUGACCCGAGUGGUGGCCAGACUCUCGGAGUCCAUCGAGUCCUCGGACACCCAGGAGCUCUAGUUCUUGUCCCUACUCUCCAACUCACUUCCCUCCUCCACUACUUCAGGCAGGUUCAGUCUUCUUAUUAGUCCCAGAAGCUCUGUGCUCGUCCCCUCCAUCCGAGCCUCCAUAUGCAGGUUCCUGUAAAGCUUGGUUAUCUGCAGAUGGAAGCAGCCAGGACUGAGAUCAUAGAAUGGGACAUACCAGCCUAGGUCAAGGGAGGCAGUGAGAGAGACCUCAACUGGGCUACCAGUAUAUUCAUUUGGUAAGGUCACCACAUUACCUUCUCUUCCCCUGGAGACUGAGUAUGAAUUUGUUCACUCAGCUACACAUAGGUAUACACAUGUAUGUGCAUAUACCUGUGUACAUGCACAUAUACAUAUUUCAUUGACGGGUCAUUGCCAAAUGGAAAUUGAUCUUUCUUAGCCAGUAGCAACCCAAAUCCAACCCACUCCCCUGGAGCAACUGGGGUUGGGCCUUGGAUAACCAAGGGCAGGGGCUCUCAAUCUUGGCUGCAAGAAACAUCUAGGAGCUUUUAACAUAUACCUAUGGGUAUAUUUUAAACAUAUACAUAGCAUUUAACAUAUACAUAUAGGGAUGUCUGGGUCCAUCCCCAAAUAAUCAAUGGUCUGGGUUGAGACUCAGGCAUCAGUAUUUUUUCAAAGCUCUCCUGUUGAUUCUUUGUACAACCAUGGUUAAGAACCACAGCCCUUUGGAUACCAGACAGUCCUCACGGCUGACAGCAUUACCGAUGGAGAGGACUAAAACUCAAGGUUGGAACUGUUCCUGCCCAGCUCCACUACCAGCAAAAACACUCUCCAUCCCAAUAUUCAAGCAUAAUUGGAUAAGCAUUCUUUGUCUCCUUCUGCAGUAGUCUUUGCUUUCUUCUCCCUCCUUAGGAGGCAUAUCUCUCAUUCCCGUCACAAAUCUUUGGGCCCUAGGGAUGUGCCCCUCCCUGUCCUUAGUGUGUGGGCUGUGAGGCAGAACACAGCCUAUAUAAAUGAGACCCUCAUGGAGCCAGGCCCUCCCUAAUGAGGCCGGCUUUGCAAAGGAGAUGGCAGGCAGUGGAGCAGAGAGCAGGGAUUUAUUUUCAACUGAGGACCAAAAAUGUGCUUGGCAAACUGGAUCCUUUCCCUGCCAAUGGAUCUGAAAGACAAGCUCACAGACAACUGGUUUUUCUGUCUCAAGAUGGUAUGAUGGGGUCACCACUCCUCCGAGAUGAAUUUUGAAUUGUCAGCAACAAUCUAAUUAGUCCUGACCAGAGCCUGUUCUUUCUUUCAGCCUAUUUGCUUUUGCCUUCAGGGUUAGUAGCUGGCAACUAAUAUCCACUAGAACUGAAUCACCCGAAUUAUCAUAGGGCUGAGCUAAUAUCCUGCUGUAGAUGCUAUCAUAGGCAGAAAGAAAAUUGAAAAGCAAGUUCUACCAUGGCCUGGCUGUAAGCAGCCACUGUUAGGUCCAGACUCCAUGCUUUAAAGUUAGCCUCAAGAUUCCUAGAAAUUUUUACUUAGGCUAAACUAGGGACCCCCCAAAAGAUGUCCCAGUUAUUUUUAGUAUCCCUUUGUUGCAAGAUAGUAUAGGAUAUGGGGCAAAACUAGAUCUCAUGCUUUCAGUAGUUAAUAACCUUAACAGUUGUCAUUUAUUAAGGCCUGUGCUGAAUGCUUUAUAUAGUUUUUCUCAUUUAUUCCCCAAAACAAUUAUUGUAAAAAUGAAAAAAAAAAAAAAACUGAGACAUAGAUUAAAUAACUUGCCCAGGGUCACUCCGAGAGUGAGUGGUAGAACCAAAAUUCAAACCAAAUAUGUCAGGUUCCAGAGUGCAAACUCUUCACCACUGUAAUAUAAGCUGUCUGCAUAUUUGGCACAGUUUUCACCAUUUGUUAAGCAUGUGGCCCAAACAAUGCAAGAAGGAUCUAUUGAGCAACUACACUGUGCCCCCAGCAUUGCAGCUGAGGGAGGAAGGGCAGCAUUCUGCUUUCUCAGCACUGUGACUUCCUUGUCAAAGCCUAAUUUCUAAAGAGCCAUUUACCUACCAAAAGAUUUCGCUGCUGUAAAGAAAGCCAUUGCCUGGUACAUGACCAUAGCAAGGGUUAGCAAACUGUAACCCACCAGUAUGGCCCAUAAGCCAUACAAAUAGUCAAAAAAGAAAUCAAAAGAAGAAUAAUAUUUUACGACAUAUGAACAUGAAUAUUAUAUGGAAUUCAAAUUUCAAUGUCCAAAAUAAAAGUUUUAUUGGAACUGAACCAUACUCAUUUGUUUACAUAUUAUCAUUAUGUCUAUGGGUGCUUUUGUGCUACAACAGCAGAGCUGAGGAGUAGCAACAGAGACUGUUUGACCUGCAAACUCUAAGAUACUUAUUGUCUGGCAUUUUACAGAAAAAGCUUGCUGAUUCUUGCCAGAAGGAAGAAUGAGAUAACUAAGCCAAACUGGCAGUGCAGUCGAGAGAUUUUACUCUACCUUUUUUUUUUUUUUAAUAGUUCCCUGGAAAAAUCAUCUUAUCUCAGCAUGUAGAGCAAACCACUUACCAACAAAAUAUCAGAGGGGACUCCCUUCCCACUUUCCUUAUAGUUAAAAGCAAGACAGCUCAUGCAAGACUCAUCCUGAGUCCCUCUCAACCUACAGCUAGCCUUGCCCUAGGUCUCUGAAGCUUUAGGACCCCUAUAGCCCCUUCCUCUUUAACACAUUCCUCAAAGACUGUAAGAAGUAAUAGUUGAGAAAUGUGUACUUAAUUUUAUUUGCCCAGGGUAUGUUUAACACCAAAUUGUGGUAAGCUGGGAACUUAAAAAUUAAGAAACUAAGAUCCAGAGAGUUAAAAUGAUAAAGCUUUGUUAAACUUCAUACUUAAUAUCGUACUUUCACAUGUUUUUAUUUAACCAUUCUUUAACUUCAAGUGGAUAUCAGAUAACACUGUUCAUUUCCCCCCUCUCUUCUGAGAUUGAACUUUGUGGGGCUUCCCCCCCAUCCUGAUUUCUACAUUCCACCUCUUAACACUUUUUGCCACUCCCUUUAGAUGUCAAUUGUAGCAUGUUGCAGCUGCAAAACUGCCUUGUCCAAAUUUUUUUUUCAAGGAAUUGACUUCUUAAUGUGGAAAUAAAUCACUAAAACUCUACAAGACUCUACAAGUUGUUUAUACAUUUUUUAAGGCAGCUCAGUUCUGAUUUGAUGAGCUGCUAAGCAGUGAAAUGUAAUCCAUUGCCAUAUAUAGCUUCUUCCUACCUAUGGAAUCCUAUUAUGGAAAUGUGGCUUUCACAGUCUCACUUACACCCAAGCUGCAGCCCCAGGAUGGGGCAUUAAAGAGCAGAUUGAACACAGAAACAUGAAGCCACCCUGGGUUUUUUCUAAAAAUCUCAUUGAAAUGAGUUUCCAAGCGUUCAGUCUGGUAGGCAAGGCUACAGGGAUAGAGGAAUGAAGGAGAGGGCAGCCAGGGCUGCUUUGAUUAAAUCAGAGGUAGGAGACCAGGGUCAAAGGACUGCAACUUUAUUUUUACAUUUUCUGGAUUAAAGUCUUCUUAAUAAAGUUUGCAGAUUAUUUGCCUGCCCUCCCACAGUCAUGAGAAAACUCACAGUGAUUGUCGGAACAGUCAGUAUCACAAAGCUCAUUAUGUAUGUCAACACAUUUCCACAUCUGUUACUUCCUGUGAGCCUUGCAGAGUCCCUACCAUACGAGAGAGUAGGACAGGGACUGUUGUUCUUAUAGAAGUACAAAAAUGGAAAUGCAGAGAAGGCGAGUGAUCUACCUAAAGUAAUAGAUCACUAGUGACAAAGACAAUGCUGGAAUUUCAAUUUCUAGGCUUCAAACAUUUUUGGUGUUUUGUUUUCCAUCCCACGUGUAAUAAAAGAAUGAUCUUUGGAGUCAGGCACAUUGGGAUUCAAUAUUAGCUUUGCUGGGUGCCUUAAACUAGUUAUGGCACUUUUCCUCAUUUGUGGAAGUCGGGAUAACAACUGUAUCAUAGUCUCAUGAGGCACUAGGGAGACCCUCUAGCACAGUGCCGUCCACAUUAUAGAUAUUCAGUAAUUUUCCUUUUAUUUCCCUGAUACAAAUAUGUAUCUGUGAUUCAUAUUUGUGUACAUACACAUAUAUUUAUAUAAUUUAACCUAUAUCUUCCCUGAGAGAUCAAGGGAACAGAUUAUAUUCCUUAAGGCACAGUUAGAUCUCCUAAGUGGUUAAUAGCAGAGCCAGAGCUAGAACUAAAUAGGCCUCAUAACACCUCAGCGCAGGUCACCCUUUACUGGGGGCAUUACCUGCCCCUGGGGUCCUAUAGGUUUAAAUGACUAGUCAAAGGACACCUGUAUUGAACAGAUACAGAUGUAGCUUUCUGUAGCCUGCAUAGUGGCGAUGUACUUAGCCGCUAUCCUAAAUCGCUCUUGCUGCCAGUGGGACCCACACAUAAACUGUACCCUUAUCAACAUCCCAUUAGGAUUUUUCAGAUGCACAGCGUACUUGUCGAAAGUGCCUGAUCAUGUAACAAAGACUUGAACUUCCAGGGUGGAACUUGAGGCUAUUUUUCCUUUUUUUCACAAGUUAGACAACAGUAUGUGUAAUGUUCCAAGAUAGCAGAACUGAUAAAAUUGAGUUUCCACUCCCUCCCCUGCCCGACAAGCAUCUAUUUCUGUGAAUUACAAUGCCAUCCCCUAAAACUGCUGAUAAGGCCUCUGGGUAUCCUUUGGUGACUGUCAGUGGGGAGCUUUGGGGAGGAUUAAAUACAUGCCUAGUGUUCACUGUGCCUCACAGCUCUGUGACUGUAAGUUUUCUGAGUUUUAAUGGUUGAAAGUGGGGAUGUAUAGUAUGACCAGCGAGAAUCUGGAGAAUUAUUCACCGAAGGCACCAAGUGGAGGAUGCUUAAAUCUUGUGCAUAUGGCAGGAAAGCCGAGUGCUGCCUCUCUGGCCUUGGCUCUUGUUUUUGAUGAGAUGUGAAGCAGUAUCCUCCUUUAACUCUUCUAGUUGACCACCACCCGCUUUCUGAAUUCUUUCCCUAUGUCCUCACCAGCCCAUUUUGGCUCUCUCCCCAAUUUCUUUAGGGGUGAGUUUAAGGGCAGGAGAAAUUGAAAGUGGUUACUGAUUCAAUAGAAUGAAAGGAUAUACAGUGUGAAAUGUGAGGUCUGCCUAUGAAGAAAUAAGACAUUACUGCUAAAUAUGCCAGCUCAAAAGAUGGAGGGGCUAUAAUCUCCCUAAAGAUUAACAUUACCAACUCAAUAAAUAGGAAGAUUGAAGGGAAUUUCAUCCCUGGGAGAAGGGACCAUGAGAGUUUAUUCCACACAUUGUCUCAAAAGGCCCUGCUCACCAGGCUGGCCUGGCCUGGUCAGGGAGGGCAAAGGAGGAUCCUGCCAGGCUCUAACUUACCUUUCCCUCUGUCACCCUACAGGUGUUAACAGAACUGAAAUCCGACAACCAGAGGCUGAAAGAUGAAAAUGGUGCCCUCAUCAGAGUCAUCAGCAAACUGUCCAAGUAGGCUAGACUCCAGAUUUAUGAGGAAAGAAAGGGACAGCAUUUGCUGCCUCCACCCCUCUUUUCCAGUCCUUGCCUUCCAACCAAAAGAAAUGGAUGUUUUGGUGGAAGGACACUUCUUUCUAUCACCUUCUUCAGUCACCUCUAUACACUCUACAUUUUCUCUGCACUUUCAAUGCCCUGUUCUUCCAAACCCCUAUCCCAAGUUUUGUGACAGUUUUAAUUGAAGCAUGAUUGUGAUAAUUCGAGCCAUCUGGAGAAUGCUCUGGGGAGUACACCAGGCUCAGCUGUGGACCCCUCAACUUCCUGCUGCUCAGCUACUUUGUCCACAUUGGAUUUGGUCCAAACAUGUAAGACUUCUACCCUAAUCAGUAUCCUUCAGCUUUUUACAUUAACCCAGUGUCCUCUGAUAUAGGUGAAUCUUGUGGUAACCACUCCAGGAUCCUGAUUGGGUGCCAAGAGAAAAACAGCAGGAUGUUGAAUUGAUCAUCAGAUGCCCUCUGGAAUGAGGCAUUUAAUUGAGCCAAAGAUGAUGGAAGAAGAAACUCUCAAAGCCAUGUACUUUGUUAGGUGUCUGGAUUUUUGGCCUCUUUGCAGCCUCUCCUAGCCACAGACAGACACUGUCUCCUCUCAGAGAAAGGCCAAUGUUUCAGUCCAGGCCACUGGUGAGUGUCGGCACCCUUGAGGUGGGCAGGGAGUGCGCAGAAGAAGCCUGGAGAAGAGAGAACUAUUUAAAAGUGUUGCCAGUUAUUCAGCUUCCAGGUGGCUUUGCACCUCCAAAGGUGCAAAAAGGAAAAAGAAAGCAGAAAGGAUUCAGCAUUUAAGCAGAAAGAAAAGGGAAAUUCUGCUCUACCAGACGAGCCGCUGCUUCCGCUGGAGCUUAUCAGUGAAGUAACACUACAGGAGCCCUGGUAUCCUUCCCUCAGAGAUAUCAUCAGGGGCCCUCAAACCCCAUUGUUUAUGCCAGCACUGACCGCACUUUAAGCACACACUUAUCAAUCAGAGGUGGUGUAAUUGGCCUAAAUCUAGGCCCAGUUAUUACUACAGAUCUUAGUCACCAUACUCUGUCGCCCAGGCUGGAGUGCAGUGGUGUGAUCUCAGCUCACUGCAACCUCCACCUCCCAGGCUCAAGGGAUCCUCUCACCUCAGCCUCCCAAGCAGCUAGGACUGCAGGUGUGCGCCACCAUGCCCAGCUAAUUUUUGAAUUAUUUUGUAGAGAUGGGGUUUUGCCAUGUUGCCCAGGCUGGUCUCGAACUGCUGGGCUCAAGCAAUCCACCUGGCUGGGCCUCCCAAAGUGAUAGGAUUACAGGCGUUAAGGCACCACGCCCAGCCCACCAUACUGAUUUUCAAGGCAGGAUCUAACCCCUCAUAAGAUGUGAGUUCUUCCAACCCAAUAAGCAGGCAGCUUUGAGGACAAAAAGGCAACAUUAAAAGAUAAGACCCUAGAAGUCAGAACAUCUGUAUUCCAAGGCCACCCCUUCUCCUUUUAGUCAUGUGACUUUGGGCAGGUCACCCUCCCUGUCUGUAAAAUGAGGUUGGACUGGAUAAUCUUUAUGUGCCCUUUCCUUUUGGCUUAAAAUUCUGUGAUUUAUUCAUUCUUAGGAAGAUCAGCACAUUUAUUGGGAUUUCUGCUUCAAAAAUUCUUUCUAACCUCAAAAAUCCCAGUCCAGAAUUUUUUGUUUUCUUCUGGAUUUAAACUGUUUAACAUGAGCACAUCAAGGUUGACUUCUCAUCCUUGUUGGGAAGUGAAUUUAAUAUUGAGGGUAAUCGAAUGAUGUUGCAAUGGCUUUCCCUCCUGAUGGCUUGGUAAGAAUAUUAAAGCCUGCAGAGGUGGAAAUUGGAGCUCAUGGAGAAAUGGAUAGAAAGCAAUUUGUUGCAGGCAGCCUUUGGACAAGUUGUUUUAAUAGGAAAUAGACCUGCUGCUUCAUAGGUUUCCUCAGCCACCUUUCCUCAGCUUUCUCAAAAUGUGAUCUACAUUGGCUCUUCACACCCAAAUAGCAGACUGAUUGUUUUUCUGCUUAGCACCGUCUGGUUCAUUGUCUUGAACUCUGCCUUACAGCAGCAAGAAAAUUUUCCUCGACAAGAACCUCAGUCUUUAGUUCCAUUGAGCUCCCCCUCUGGAUUUUGGACUUAUCGGAAGUAGGAGGUUCUGAUACCAUUCAAGAUGGUCUUUCCUUCAAAGCAGGUCUGAAGAGGAGACUACCAAAGCAGUAAGUGUUUACAAACCCGGAGUCCACACAACCAUAUUGCAUAGAACAGCACUUGGCUUUCACAAGCCUCCUACAGGACCUGGUGUAAUUGGAGUGAAAGGGCAGAGACCCUGGAAGUGGAGGUGGCUGUGUAUUGCGAUGGGAAGAAGGCAGAAGGCCCAGGGGCUUUGGACAUAGAGCAGGGUGGAAGCUGCAAGUACUGGGAAGGAAGAGAGUUUCACAGAACCAAAGCUUUGGCACACAGAAAUGAGUUCUGUCUCACUGGUGACUUCAUCCCUCGGGGUCCAGCUGAGCAGAGAUUUUAAUCAGCUUCCUUAAUGAGUAUUGACACUGCUCAGGAAGCAGUAGACCCUAUCAGGGACCGCUAUUGGUCUUUCGUGUUCUGAUUAGAUUGGAAAAUAGAUCAACUUCAUUGUAGUCCAGGAACUGUUGGUCACAGCUACUAGGAAUGAGGUGAUUUCUGAGGGCUGAGAAAAAACACAGAAUCUUGGCCAGCCAGUAGCUGCAUGGUAAAAGAAGAUGGAUUCACUUCUCCUUCGAGAGUUGGGGUUGAGGGCAAACAUAGAACCCAGGUUUGGCUUACAACCCAGUGUCCCGGAAGCCCUCCUUCGGGAGAACUGUAAGUAAGAGGUGGGUGUGUCUAAAGACAAUACCAUUAAUGAAUGUUCUGGCCUUACCUAAAAAGGUUUAGCAAUUUGGGGAUAACUCUUGCAUCUAGCUUAUGUGCGUUCACAUGCACAUUUGCUAGCCCAGAGCUUUUAAAAUGAGGUCUGGCAUAUACUUGAUUACAAACGAGAACUCAGAAACCAAUUUUAUUUAUUAAAUCAUAUCUUUUGGUUUUCCCCGUCCCUUCUAAUCCACCAAAGGACCUAUUUGAGCUGUUCCCCAAUUCAUCUGCUUAUUUUGGACUGUGAAUCUGCCAGAGUGAUAUUUUCUGUUAUUUCUCCUCCAAAUUUUUCCCUGAUGUUUCCAAUAAAGAUUUACUUGGGUGGCCCCUUAAGGUGACAUCAGGAUGCUCUUAUGUCCUUCCAGAAUAAACAUACACUUCACUCCUCUCCGUCUCAUCUCCCUCUGCAUUCUUAAUUUAAUUCCUUGCUUUUCUCACUUGGAGCCGAGGGUGCUUUAGAGAGGUGGUUUUCCAUGAAUCAGCCAAGAUUCCCGUAGAAGUUGGAUAUACCAACAACCAUCACCACCACUGCCCCCUCUUCCAGUUUCAAAUCUCCUCGGCUAUGCUAAUGUCCCCUCAAAGAUGAGGUUUGACUUGUAGGCCCGUAUGACUCCUCCGUAGCCUGGCCAAGGAGACCUUGAGUAGCCAUGUCUGGUUUACUCUUUAUCCUGAGACUGUUUAUAGCUUAAAACAGAAGUGUGUCUUCCCAGCACAAACCUAAUCAGUGUAUCAGUGCAUCUGGUGGCAACAGCUCAGCCCAUUCAAAGAGCAAGGAUUCAGGAAAGGCACGCUGAUGGUGGGGAGCCUCUAAUGUUCUCCCAAAACCAGAGUUGAGAGUCGGAGUGCCGGUCCCCUGGGCCCAAGGGACAUGCUAGGGCCAGAAGUAGCUUGACUCUCAUCUAAGUAUCUAUGCCUUUGCCUGUCCUUUCUCCCACUCUGCUGAAACCCGGAACUGAUUCCCGCUUGCCUUCUGAUUGAUGGAGAGAGGUUAGGUAAAGAGAGUCUGGAGGAAAAACACCAGGAGGCAGGCUGCGGGGUAGGAGAGGGUUCUGAGAGGAUGCAGCAAUCCAGAAUACCUCCUUUUCUAGCCAGCAUCCCUUGAACUUUUGAAAGGUUGUGCCUACCACUGGCUGGCACACCAGGGCAAUGAUUUCCCUGCAGAAGGAAGGAAAGAAUGUUUCACCCUUGCCUCCUUCUUGAAGAUACAGCCUGUGCUCAGUUGAGUGGUUCACACUCGGACUUUGGCUUUAUGGUUUUCUUUCCUCCUUGUCUUUGCCCUGACCUUGAUCAACAGCUGUGAAAGGAACCACCCUGGGGGUCUCCAUGCCUCUCCCAUUUCAGUGGUAGCAUUUUGUGUCUUUACUCCACCCUUCACCCUAUUUCCACCAAGGUUAACACACCCGAUGUAACUGUUUUUCAGCUGAGUUGUAUGGAUUAACUUCAGUCCACUGUAAAUACACCUGGGAUGGGGUGGGGUUGGGGGUGUUUAGGGAGAAGAAGCCAGACUUGCUUUGUGAACUGAAUGUAUUUUUAUGCAAUUUUGAGUGGCCUUUCAACCCUAAGAUGAACGGUUUUGUUUUACUGGUUGUUGUUAUAUAGUAUUGAGUAUUCUGUGUUUGAAAGUUUGGGAAUAAUAAUAUUCACAUCUAUAUGAUGCCUGUAAACACAACAGUAUUUAUAAAUGAGUAAAUAAAACUGUGUUUUAACUUUG